rnacentral:snoRNA from 14 species
GCUGAGGAAUGAUGACAAUAAAAGGCCGAAUUGCAGUGUCUCCAUCAACAGUUUGCUCUCCGUGUGGGCACACGAUGACAAAACCUCCUGAAGCGAGUCACUGUCUGACCUCAGU